AGCGAACGCUGGCGGCAGGCCUAACACAUACAAGUCGAGCGCACCCUUCGGGGCGAGCGGCGGACGGGUUAGCAACGCGUGGGAACAUACCCUUUGGUACGGAAUAGCCUCGGGAAACUGAGAGUAAUACCGUAUGUGCCCUUCGGGGGAAAGAUUUAUCGCCAAAGGAUUGGCCCGCGUUAGAUUAGAUAGUUGGUGGGGUAAUGGCCUACCAAGUCUACGAUCUAUAGCUGGUUUUAGAGGAUGAUCAGCAACACUGGGACUGAGACACGGCCCAGACUCCUACGGGAGGCAGCAGUGGGGAAUCUUAGACAAUGGGCGCAAGCCUGAUCUAACCAUGCCGCGUGUGUGAUGAAGGCCUUAGGGUCGUAAAGCACUUUCGCCAGAGAUGAUAAUGACAGUAUCUGGUAAAGAAACCCCGGCUAACUCCGUGCCAGCAGCCGCGGUAAUACGGAGGGGGUUAGCGUUGUUCGGAAUUACUGGGCGUAAAGCGUACGUAGGCGGAUCAGAAAGUAUGGGGUGAAGUCCCAGGGCUCAACCCUGGCACUGCCUCAUAAACUCCUAAUCUAGAGUUCGAGAGAGGUGAGUGGAAUUCCGAGUGUAGAGGUGAAAUUCGUA
rnacentral:rRNA from 1 species